UGGAGCUGGGGCUUGAGUGCAGCAGUCUGCAGGAGAGAAGUUCUCAAGUGUUUGCUUUUGAUUGCUUUGCAAAUAUUUUGCCAAGGGCUCCACUCAUGGACUGGUUGUCAACCAAGACUGGAGAGCCCGGUCCAUUCUGCCAUGGCAUCUGCCGUUCGGUAGUGUUUCCUCCACCAGGGAUAAAGGCUCAUACCUCCCCCCAACGUUGCUUCAUCUCCAAAGCCAUUGGCACCAUAGAGGUUGAUGCUGCUUCUACAUAAGAGGCCUCCCUUUGGACAAUUCUUGAUUUAGGAGAUUAACAGAUCCCCAAAUACAUGGAAUUCAGUUCUCUUCCUCUUCUGCUUCUUCCAGAAGACCAUCUUCCUUUGAGUGUUGCUGCAGGAAAGGUUAGUCUAAGCUACAUAGAUUGAACUGAUAAGCAAAUCAACAUGCUGACAGGACAGAACGUGGACAACACAAUGACCACAGAGACCAAUCACCGUUGUCCAAAAAUGAAGUGUCAUCAGAGGGGGUAAAGGAUACAAAAAGAGGGGAUUUCAGAGCAGCAAAGGGUCCCUAGGAAGGGAACCUGAGGCCACCAUGGACAGAGAGCCUGUCUUAUCCACCCCAUGGUGGGGGGUCCUCAGCUUCCAACCUCCGGGCUGCUGACAUCUCUCAUUCAAGAGAGAACUUCAGAGUGAAGCUUGUGUACUGGCCAGAUGUACCAUGACUCUGUGAACCCUGGGACUGGUAGAUACAGAGGGGUUUGCCUUAUUCUUAUCUACUAUCACUG